CGUGGCUCAAAUCCUCCAACUGCAGGACUGCCGGCCCUGGGACUCAUGAAUAAUGGAAGUGCAGUAACCACUCCUUACAGCCCAGACGACUUUCCAGGAGCAGGCUGUACCCCGAAAGUAAACAAGGAACAAGGGGCAAGGAGACAGAGAGAGAUGGGGAAAUGAUCCCUGAAUGGAAAGGAAUGCUAUGCACACUUUUUGGAUACAGGAAGUGAGAUUCAGAGGGGUUAAACAGCUUUCCUAAAGCCACACAGCGAGAGAGUCGAUCUGAACUGAAGAUUGUUUGACAUCAAAGCUCAUUUCUUUCCCUAAAUGUCAGCAUUCUUUCCUGACUUAUUAAUUUGAUUUCUGUCCUCCCCUCAUGGAAGUUAAUUAAAGGAAUGCGAGAACCUUUUAGAA
rnacentral:lncRNA from 1 species